rnacentral:rRNA from 1 species
GAUGAACGCUGGCGGUAUGCCUAACACAUGCAAGUCGUACGAGAGUUUUUAACUCUAGUGGCGGACGGGUGAGUAACACGUGAGAAUUUGCCUUUAGGAGGGGGACAACAAUCGGAAACGAAUGCUAAUACCCCAUAUGCUUUCGAGUGAAAUGGAUUUUAUCCGCCUAGAGAGAAGCUCGCGGCCGAUUAGCUUGUUGGUAAGGUAAGAGCUUACCAAGGCGACGAUCAGUAUCUGGUUUGAGAGGACGAUCAGACACACUGGAACUGAGACACGGUCCAGACUCCUACGGGAGGCAGCAGUGGGGAAUUUUCCGCAAUGGGCGAAAGCCUGACGGAGCAAUACCGCGUGAGGGAAGAAUGCCUAUGGGUUGUAAACCUCUUUUUUCAGGGAGGAAUCAAAUGACGUGUACCUGAAGAAUAAGCAUCGGCUAACUCCGUGCCAGCAGCCGCGGU